AUUGAAAAUCCAGGUAGGUUAAGGAAAACAUUUUAUAAAAAAAAGACUUUUUAAAAAAAGACACAGCAUAAAGUCGAGACCUUUUGCAAGGUCAGCCUUUGCUCAAUUUUGCUUGGAGAACAAAAAAAAAAGCUUGAAGCUUUCACAUUUGAAGGCUAUAGAGGGAGAAAGAUAAAUUCGUUUUCUUUUCUCCUUUUGGUUCAUCUGGGGAACACGAAGCAAGACGAAUGAAGUCAAACUCCACACUAUUUUUGAAGGGCUCAGAUUUGUGGGUUUCUCCUUUUCUCCCAUUUGCGCUGUCAGUUUUAUGAGAUUCACGACAACGACGGUUUUCGGGAUCCAAACAGCUAACAUUUGGUGAUUCAUUCAAGAGACUUUGAAAAGAAAUCAUUUUAGGCCCAAUUAACUGUGAUAGCCCAACGUUCUUUGAGUCAAGAAAGUAACAUUCAUGCAAAUAGAUUUUUUUCAAUCGUUGAAGUUGUGUUUUAGGUGGGACACGUGGCUUAAAAUGCUCUAUGCGUACUGCUGAUGUGGCACACGGAAAAAAGAAAAAAGUCUUUUUUAUUAAUAUAGAUUAAUUUAAUGGAUAAUUACACAAUUUAUUUUCUGGUUUUAAAAGGAUAACUACACAUGUUAGCAUGCUACUCAAUUUUUGUAUAAAACUUAACUUUUGUAAAUGAAUCUACUCUAUUAAAAUAAAGUCAUUUUUCAAUUUGCCGUGGCAUUCAUUUUUUUUUGGACUUAAUCAUCAUGUUAUCACUUAAAUAAUACACGCUUCUUAUGGGACAUAUAUUAUAUGUAUCUUAUAUACUUAAACCAAACCGACGUACCAUUAAAGCUUUUUACUUAAAUUAAGCCAACCUUCCAAAAUAUUUAAAUUAAUCAUGAAAAGAGUGCGCAUGAGGAGGGGCCACUAAGGCUACAAAUCUAUAAUAGAACGAGGCAGUUGCCUCAUUCUUGAGCCGACACGUCAGCAUUUUGGUGGGUCCCACUUUUAAAAAGUAUGAAAAAGUGUUAAGCCUGUUGUUCGAACUCAGGUUAUUGAGAUACAAAUACCAACAUUUAUACCACUAAACUAAAAGAUACUUUGUACAUUGAUGGCCGAAACUAAUAUAUAUUUAUGAAGGUCGGAAACCUUUGCUUCUCUGUGGGGCCUACAAGUGUAUUAUGAGUUUCGUUUUUAAAUGAGAUUCAUCACGUUAUAUGAAAAAACAACAAUUAUAGUUUUUCCAUAUUGUAAACUGUCUUCGUUUAACACGAGUUAGAGUUCUUUUCAUCAUUGUCUCAGAUAAGUCUGAGUUACAGAGUUGCGCUGUGUGUCUGUUUGUGUAAAAAUAGAUGGUAACGCAUGGGCUUCGAGAAAAGAUUGGGCUAAUUGAUUUUCACUUUAUUGGGCUUAGUAUCUGGUCCAGUUUGUUAAUACAGACAUAUAGGAAGAUUAGGUUAAUCGACAUCUUCACCAUCUCCUUCGUCGCUUGCGAUUUCCCUUCCGGCAUUUUAAUAUAUUUUUUUUUCUACUCAUCAGCUUCUUCUUUCUCUACCUCUCCUCAAUCCAAUCGACGCUUCAGUGUAUCCCUUAUUUUAUAUUAAAGGAAGCCGAUCAUCCACUGUUACAUCUAGCAAGAACUUCUGAGAUUCUAACCUCUACCGUGACAGAAUCAUUUGUCAAAUCAUGUGACCAAUUAAAACCCGAUACAAUAUUUUAGGCAAUCGAUCUCGAUUCUUCUCGAUGUAGUUUCAAUGGUGGUCUACCCGGCACAAACAAUAUUUCUCUCUAUUGUCGGAUGUAAACUUCUGCAGCUGAUGAGAAAGGAGUUCACGUGGAAAUUGGAUCAGUCGAUGAUAAUUAGAAUUCAAGUGUUGCUAUUGGAGCCAAGCUCUCUUAUGAUGAUACUAUGGUUCGUGGUUUAGCCGGAGAUGCAUUUGGCUCAAGCCUAAAAUAAUCAUGCGUUUAUCACGGCUGAUGUCGUCAUCCCGUUAGUGGCGAGCUAGCAGUUAGAUUUCAUUAUUCUAGUGAUGCUUCCGUGAUCGGGCUUUGUGGUUAUAUCUACAAGAAGUUCAUGAUCGUCGUAAGCGCAGAUGCAAAGGUAACGAUAUCAAAUAUCCUACUUAUGUCCACUUUUGGAGUAACUUUCAGUACAAAGUUGUCACUGUCAGGUGAGAGUGUAUAUCAAGCCAAGUAGCCAACGAGGCGGUCGGGAGCAUAAGAACGCUUGCUUUAUUCUGCGCAUAGGUGAAAGUGAUGAAAGUAUAUAAGAAUAAAUCUGAUGGAAAAUGAAUCGUUAGGGGUAUCGUGGUAUCGCUUUCUUAGAUUCUUUCUUCAUCAUCUUCGCUUCUUACACCGACAGUUUAUAUGCAGGUGCGAGAAUAAUGGAAAAGCAACACUCGAUUAUGAUUUUCAAGGUAACACACCAAAACAAAUUUCAGAAAAUUUAAACGGUUCUUGUCUUAACCCUUCUAAAGGAUAAUAUGUUUUGUUUGUUUUUUUAAAAGGUUUUCUUUGCCUUCACCAUAGCAGCUGCAGCUAUUUCUCAUUCGAUUUCAUUGUCUCCUGAUUCCAGCAAAGCUACCAAUGCAGCUGCAUCAUGUAUGCAAGACCACUAACAUUCACACAUCUGUCUUCACAGUUAUAGACAGAGAAUCAAAGAUUGAUCCAAGUGAUGCUUCUGGGAGAAUACUUGAUAAUGUUAAAGGAGAUAUUGAACACUGUCAUACCUUGAUCGUAAACACGUUUUCAGAUUGUUCGAGGAAAACCAAAUACUUCGCUCGGGAAAAUUUUCAGCAAAGAUAGCAAGUGAGGAGGAACGCAAAAUGUGGAUCAAUGGAGAACCUUCAGAUCUUCGAUAGCGAUUCUUGAAUGGUGGGGUCUCAGCGUAACGUUAUCAUCAUAACCAAAUAAAAUUUUCACGUAAUACAAAUGUCAACAUUCAACAAAACUUUUCGUAUGUUUAAUUAUUUCCUUUUGAUAUUAGGAAUUUGGUACCGUAAUUUUAUGAUGUCCAAAAUGCUUUUGAAUGAGAUUUAUCUAUUUAAGUGAACGCUGGAGAUUGUUGACCAAGAAGAACACAUACUUUAGAUGCAAUGCCAUGCGUUUUUUUUUUCAGUUUUGGACUCUGUUUUUUUUUCAGUUUUAUUGGUUGCUUUUAAGGUUCUCUAUUAGGUUCCUUACUUUUUCAUCUUAUUGUGUUUAAAUUUUGUGUGGAUUUACUUUGUCAUUUUCAGUUUCAGAUUAUUAUGUUUUAGUCAUAUCAAUUUGUAUCUUUCCCCAGUUUGAUGAUACUUUUUCCUGAUAAUGAUUUAGUCUGACCUUAUUUUUUCUUCCUUGGUUAGGGUGUCAUCUUUGCCAAGACUGAUGAAUUUCAGACUGAUGAAUUUCAGACUGAUGAUUUAGGUUUAUAUCAAAGGUAUUAUACAAUAUUGAAUCUUGCUUGAUAUAUUUAGUCUUUUUUCUUCUCUCUUAACGUGUAUUCUUUUCUUUCCAACUUAUGGUUAUAUUAUAUAUGUCGAGGUACAAAACAAACAUUCCGAUGACUUUCUUGACUUUAUUCAUAGUAGAGGAUGCGAACAAAUAUGUUGCAAUUUCUGAUGCUGGUUCCAGUCUCCUUGAUUGACACUUUGUUAUCUACUAAUAAUAAAGCUACAACCCAUUGAUCAUAAUCUAUUGUUCUUAACAGGUUGUUGCUUUUGAUAACAACAUGAACUCUUUACUCGAGUCAUAUCUAUCACCAAGAAAAUAUAAAAGUACAAUAUUUUUACAUGUUACUUCUUUCAAUUAUUCAACAUAGUAACUGGAUCAUGUACUAUAUGUUGGAUUUGCAAAUAAGGUUUUUUGUUUAGGAAGUUCAGAUUGAACCUUCUCGCAUUACUAUUGGCCAGAGCUGGUUCCAUAAAAUGUGAAUAUGAAAGGCAUAUUUAUUUUUCGAGAUGUUUGAGACCAUGUAUGUGUUAAGAUCAAACAACUGACGAAAUAUGCUGGAAAACACAAGCAUAGUGACAGGUAGGAUAGACUACUAAUCAAUUGGUAUUAAACUAUCUCGAUAAUGUUUUUCUAGCAGUCACUUAACCCACUGAAUCACAAAUACUGGAAAACAUACAAAAUACAAGUUUAAUACGUGUAUAUAAUAUGGUCUUCCUGCACGUAAAGUCACAAUCGAAUGGAGGUGAAAGCAUAAAUAACAAACAUGAAGAUGGCGUUCAACAACAAGAGCAAUAGAAACCACCUACACAUUGAAGACAAUUAAUAGUUGUAACCAAGUGAUUGAUUACAAAUGUACAAUUAACAAUGACAACAGUUAACACCUUCCAUUUAAGAGGGGCGCCAAUUAUGAAAAUACAUUAUAUCAGAUAAGAAAGGAGAAAAUCAACAAAAUUAACGAAAAGAAAAAAUAAAUAGUUAUAAUUUUACAAAUAAAACUGACAGUUAAUGGAUGUUAUCUUAAUACGAGACUAAAUAGACAGACAAAAUAGACAAGGUGAUACUAAAACAAUAACAUCCAAAAGAUCGC